ensembl:misc_RNA 7SK 7SK RNA
GGACGUGAGGGUGCUCUGGCUACCACAUCUGUCACCCCAUUGACUGCCAGCGUUGAUUGGCUGAUCUGGCUGGCUGGACAGGUGUCCCCUUCCUCCCUCACUGCUCCAUGUGUGUCUCUCCCCAACGGUGCAUUCUGGAUCGAAGAGAACCCCAGGUAGAAGAGGAUGUUUUCCUCAGUCAAGGGUAUAGGAGUAGCUGUGCUCCCCUCCUAAAACUGCCAAACAAGCUCUGAACAGGACUGUAACGGCACAGGAAACAAUAGCCAGAAUCAACAAAUAGGACUAUAUCAAAUUUAAAGGUGGAUUCAAUUUUU